rnacentral:rRNA from 1 species
UACGGAGAGUUUGAUCCUGGCUCAGGACGAACGUUGGCGGCGUGCCUUACACAUGCAAGUCGUACGCGAAAGGGUGAACCGGCUUGCCGGGGAUCCUGAGUAGAGUGGCGAACGGGAGCGUAACACGUGAGAAACCUGCCUUGGAGUGGGGAAUAACUUCGAGAAAUCGGAGCCAAUUCCGCAUGAUGCAGCGGCCCCGCAUGGGGACAGUUGUUAAAGACGGCCUCUGCUUGCAAGCCGUCGCUUCGAGAUGGUCUCGCGGCCUAUCAGCUAGUUGGUGAGGUAAUGGCUCACCAAGGCGACGACGGGUAGCCGGCCUGAGAGGGUGUCCGGCCUCAUUGGGACUGAGACACGGCCCAGACUCCUACGGGAGGCAGCAGUGAGGAAUCUUGCGCAAUGGGCGAAAGCCUGACGCAGCGACGCCGCGUGAGGGAUGAAGGCCUUCGGGUCGUAAACCUCUGUCAGGGGGGAAGAAUCCGGAGUCGGCGAAUACCCGGCUCCACUGACGGUACCCCCAGAGGAAGCACCGGCUAACUC